GAUGAACGCUAGCGGCAGGCUUAAUACAUGCAAGUCGAGGGGCAGCGGGGGUAGCAAUACCUGCCGGCGACCGGCAAACGGGUGCGGAACACGUACACAACUUUCCUUUAAGUGGGGGAUAGCCCAGAGAAAUUUGGAUUAAUACCCCGUAAUAUUAUGAAGUGGCAUCAUUUUAUAAUUAUAGCUCCGGCGCUUGAAGAUGGGUGUGCGGCUGAUUAGGUAGUUGGCGGGGUAACGCCCACCAAGCCUACGAUCAGUAACUGGUGUGAGAGCACGACCAGUCACACGGGCACUGAGACACGGGCCC
rnacentral:rRNA from 1 species